GCUUACGGCCAUACCACCCUGAGCGCGCCCGAUCUCGUCUGAUCUCGGAAGCUAAGCAGGGUCGGGCCUGGUUAGUACUUGGAUGGGAGACCGCCUGGGAAUACCAGGUGCUGGUUAGCU
ensembl:rRNA 5S_rRNA 5S ribosomal RNA